GUGUUUCGAGGUUGAAAUUGAAGAACGGGAAUUCCAGAGACAUAGUUCGACAAGAGUCUAGCUUCAAGUUCCUCCAAGAGUCUACAAGCUGCGAACGAGGAAUCGCGAAGAACAACAGCAUCCAGGAAGAAAGGUAUAUCCGCAGACGAAGACAUUUUUCACGGAACAUUUGCCACUUAUCACCCUAUAGACAGCUUAAUUUCCACGGAAGAAGGACGCACCGACAACCACGUGUCUCGAAUUAGGUGUUCCCCAUUAGGCCAUACCGGAACGUUUACAUUCGC